rnacentral:tRNA from 1 species
GCAGGAGUAGCGAAGCGGUCAAACGUAGCAGGCCUAGGACCUGCCGGCUUAGUGCCUUCGGAGGUUCGAAUCCUCCCUCCUGCA